UUCUUUUGCAACGUGACAGAGUUCAUGCAGUGUGUUUGCGUGCUUGUUGUUAGAGCUGUUGUGGUGUAAUGAGCCCUCACCUGUGUGUUGUUGUGCAUGAGUGAGUCGUGCCCUGGUUUGCAUUAGAUGCUGCAUGCGCUGUCUGUUGUACACCCGGGUCUGGGCUGCAGGGAUGCACGUUCACUGGCGUUUAAUGGAGCGCCACCAUUUUUCUGCAUGCAGAAAACCGCACCUCCCCACGCUGAGUGAAACACUGUGUUGCAUGCUGCCUUAAUAGCAAGUAGAUCAGAGGACUAAGAUGCUUCACACCAGUGCUGGACCCAAACCCAGACUCUGAUCCCAGCCCUCUCCACGAACUGUGUUGGGCUGAAUGACUGGAGGGAAGUUCCUCUCCAAAGCUGUGGCCUGAGCUUUGUUAAUGAAAUUAUCAAACUGAAUCCAUUUAUGCUGAUAUCCCAAGCUUUUAGGGGAGGGAUGGUAGAAAUCCGAAUUUCAGAGCUGGAUUUGAGUCCAGUGCUAAACGACACGAAUGAAGCUCGGUUGAUGUGUUUCAACUACCUCUCUAUUCUUUGCAGAUAUCCACUGUCAGCAAGCAACACUGAAAGAAAGGAUGGAAGACACUGAAAAGGAAGAAUGUUUCUCCUGUAAUUUUUUGAAGGUGGAUAGGUAAUGUGUUAUCUGCAGGGAAUUCUAUGUUCAGUGUCCUCCUUAACAGGCUGUCUUGCUUAGAAGAUUUCCUACACGUGAAAAAACUCCAUUGGAAGAAACGAAACGAGGAGCUGACAAAAAGAAAAAGAAGACUGUCGUCUCCUUGCUCUGCAACUGAUGCCACAUCAGCUCUGUGUGACAGACACACCUGCUGAUGUCACCUUAUUCCACAGACCUUUUCUUCCAGGCUUCCCAAGUUGGCAUUUGAAGUUCUGUGAACAGAAAUGCAAUGGUGUAGUGUUCAGAGAUUGUCAGUGUCCCCUGUCCUACUUCAGACAGCACAUGCUCGUUAUGCCUGUUUUGCAAAUGAACAAACAGCGUUUAAAUUAUUAAACAGAUUUCUAAAAAUGUA